CUGCUUGCCGGUGCGAUCUUCCAAUUAUUGAUGAUUGUCAUGAUAGACGAAUAGGAUGUCGGAAAAGUAAUUGCACAAUGAAACACAUAGUUUGUCUCUGUGAGGAAAGUAGAAAGGUCCCUGUUCUGGAAAGAGAAUAUUUAAAGGACCAAAGAUGCAAGAUAGGACCAAAAGGAAGUUGGCAGUUAGGCAAUGUGGACCAU